UCCUGCGCAAGCGAUUGUCCCCAUUCCCCAAACCCCGUCAUCUCCUGGAAUUAAUAAAAAAAGGUUAAAAAAAAUCCAUCUCCUGUCGCCUGCUCCGGCGCCGCCGUGCUGCCCGCCGCGCGUGCUGGAUCUCCGUUCCCGCGACGCCUUCCCGUUCCCCUCGCCGCCCUCGCUCUCCUGGCUUGGAUCCCAUGUCGGCCGAGAAGCCGCCGACCGGCGCGGGCGCGGGCUUCGGCCCGGAGGAAGGGAGCAGGACGCCUCUGGAGCGGGCGGCGGACGCGGCGGAGGAGCUGUACCGCCUCCGUGACACCUUCUUCCCCCAGGAGCCUGCCGAGAAGGCUGCCGCACUCCGCGCCCGCGCCGACGCCGCCCUCGCCCUCCUCGACGCCCUCCCGCCCGAACAAAAGAAAUCUCCACAACAGCGUGGUGUUUUUGAAUUUUUGAGGGGAAAAAUACUGGAUGUCUUUCCUGACUAUCAUAAGGAGGCUGAAGAUCAUUUAUCCAAAGCAGUAAAGCUGAAUCCAUCUCUUGUAGAUGCAUGGCUAUGUUUGGGUAACUGCAUUUGGAAGAAGGGAGAUCUGCCUGCAGCAAAGAAUUGCUUUUCAUUAGCACUAAGCAAGGGUUCAGAUAAGAAAAUACUGUGCCAGCUCUCCAUGCUUGAAAGAAGUAUGGCUCAAGGUAGUGAAGACCAGGUGCUUUUAGUGGAAGAGAGCAUUAAGCACGCAAAAGAAGCUGUUAUGCUGGACAUUAAAGAUGGCAAUUCAUGGUACAAUAUGGGUAAUGCUUAUCUCACUAGCUUCUUUGUGGGAGGAGCCUGGGACCACACUAAGCUUCAUCAUUCGGUGAAAGCAUAUCAAAAUGCUGAGAAGGAUAAAACUAUGAGUUUGAAUCCAGACCUCUACUAUAAUUGUGCCACAGCCGACAAAUAUUUGGAGAAUUAUGAAAGGGCCCUUCGUGGAUUCGAAGCUGCAGCUUUAAAAGAUCCUGGCCUCAGUGCUGAUAGAGAAGUUCAGAAGAUCAUCAGUCUCCUUGAUAAGCUAGAGAAUGCAAUGAAGGGACAAUUACGAUCCAAAAGAUUAGCAUCAUUGGUGUCAUCCUUGAGUAGUGUCCAUUUGAAUUCAUCGCACAAGAAAGUCACAGUAAGCAUUCUAUCAGAGGGUUUGAACAAAGCAGUUGCUGUUUUGGGAAAAGUUGUUCUUUUGAUAAGACAUGACAAUGUUGCUCCACUUGUGUACCAAUGGAUAUAUGCGAAAUAAUAGUUGAGAAUGGAUUUACUAUAAGCUUCCUUGUUGGACUUCGGAGCCAUGGAGGAAAAGAUGCGAACAGUCAAUCAAGUAUCUUGUAAUAUUUUUCUAUAACCUUGUUUCUAUUUAUUUGACGACCUGGUUAUCAUAAGCUAAGUACAGCAUAAUCAUGCAGAUGAGUAAAGGUGUAUGCAGAUUUUUGUUCAUUUACAGUGUGCCUACUGGUGCCUACUAGAAAUGCCAUUAUAUCUUGAUUCUUCCUCCUGAUAUCUCAUAUUGUUCGUAAUGUAUAUUAUUAUCUUUAAUGUUUUUUCAGGUAUUAUUUAACAUGUGACUUGGAUCAGACUUAUUUUAUACUUUCAGUCUAUGGGCUGCGGAAUGAUGCAAUGAAAGAGGGUGAUCGAGUGGUAUUAUUCGAACCAUACUACAGAAUUCUUGAUGCAUCAUGGAAAGACAAGCGCUACCAGUUCAAAUCAAUACGAGUGGACUUUCCAGAGCAGAUUCUAAUCAACGAGAAAGCCCCAGCUCCUCAUCAUGUCGCACGGGCGUCGAUCCAUGCACACAACAAAACGUGAUUCUUUCUUUCUUCUUCCUUGGGAGGGUUGGUUUUGAUACCUAUAUGUUGUAUUGGACAUGUCGGUGUGCUGGGCCGUGGGUUGUUCCGAGCUCUGAGAGCGGGAAACAAAAAAUAGCAUGAAAAAUGUGUUGCUGCUGUUGCUUCGUCUCCCAACUUCUGCCUUCGUCCUCCGCCCGGUGUUACAAUUGACACCAUGGGAACAGUUUACACACAGACAAUGUCGUCGAGUGGUAGCUGCUGAACUAUUGCCAAUGUCCCAAAGAACAGCAACUAUUUGCUUGACAGAAAAAAAAA